GCCCCGCCCGCCAGUCCACAGCCCCGCCCCUCCGGAGGCCCCGCCCGCCUGGGUCCCAGCCAGGCUUCUGCUGGGACGCGCAGCUCUCGGCUGCCCAGGGACCAGCCUUAGCCCGGAGACCCGAGCGCGGGGGUUUCCGUACCCGCCUGAGGCCAGGUCCGUUGGGGCCUCCCCGAACGCUCGCUGGGCUGCGCUCACGGGCUCUGCCCAGCUCUGGAAGCCGCUCGUACUUCCUGCACUGCUUCCGUGCCUCACUCCGUCAAGCACAUCGGGAAACCUGACAUGGUCCCCGGGCUCCCGCCUUGGGGUGAAGACAGCGUGGAGCAGGUCGAGGGGCAGCCCGCGUAGCCCGGGGUUGCACCGCGAGGAUCUGAGGUCAGGCCACAGAGAAGCGUCUGUCCCUCCUCGCUUAAGGAACACAUGUCUCUAUUGAGGAGACAGAAAAAUACCCAAGAGGUAGACUGUAAUUCUGGGACGGGGGAGCCUGGUGGGCUGCCAUCUAUGGGGUCACACGGAGUCGGACACGACUGAAGUGACUUAGUAGCAGCAGCGGCAGACUGUAAUUCAGUUCAGUUCAGUUCAGUUCAGUCGCUCAGUCGUGUCCGACUCUUUGCGACCCUAUGAAUUGCAGCAUGCCAGGCCUCCCUGUCCAUCACCAACUCCCGGAGUUCACAAACUCACGUCUGUAAUUAGUGACCCCCAAUACUUUCCUGGGCUUCCCUGCUGGCUCAGAGGGUAAAGCGUCUGCCUGCAAUGUGGGAGACCCGGUUCGAUCCCUGGGUCGGGAAGAUUACCUGGAGAAGGAAAUGGCAACCCACUCUGGUGCUCUCGAAAAUCCCAUGGAGAAGCCUGGUAGGCUACAGUCCACAGGGUCACAGAAAAUCGGACACAACCGAGCAAUUUCACUUCACUUUCACUACUUUCCUACUAUCUCCUUCCUCUCACCUGCUGGGUUCCCACUCACCCUUCACUUUCUCUUUCUGGGGAGAAAGGCUGUGGACACAUGUACCCACUUUCUCUCAACCCUGAGCUCUAGUGUCUCCAGCUUGGUCCAGAGGCCUUCAGCCCUGCUGGUUUCAGAGUCACCUACCACACCUCACUCCCCCACCUUCUGCACAGACUUAACUCCACUGUUGUCAUCCUGAUGGGACCAGCAAAGCUCCUGCGUUCCACACUCCACUCACCCAAGGUGAUCCUGAGAAAAUACCACUCACUGCUCAGAACUCUCUAUGAAAAUGGAGCGACCAGGAAGACUUGGCCCAAUGCCACCUGUGCCAACCAGACACUCUGUGAUCAAUGUCUGAAGCUCCAGGAUCAUCCAAGACUUAGACCUAAACCCAUGGGAAGCAGAGACCAUGCUGGAUAUAGCCGUAUGUCACCUUAGGUUAUCAGUGCUUAUUGUCCUUGUUUAAUACCUUAUAUUUAUAAUAAGGAGAGAGAAUAUUGUGGAGGAACUUUCAAAAAGUUGAAAUCAAAGAAGAGAGCUUUGUUGACAUACAAACAACUCCUUGUAAACUGUAAAAGCCAUGGAGUGGAGUGAGGUACGUGCAUGUUCAGUCGUGUUCAACUCAGUGGCCCUAAAGACUGUUGCCUGUGAGGCGUCUCUGUCCAUGGAAUUUUCCAGAAAGAAUACUGCAGGGGGUAUUGCUCCUACAGGGAAUCUUCCAACCCCAGAGCCUGAACCUGCAGCUUCUGCAUUGGCAGGCAGAUUCUUUACCACUGAGCAACCUGGGAAGCCAUUGAAAAGGCCAUCAGUUCAGUUCAGUUUAGUAGCUCAGUUGUGUCCAACUCUUUGUGACCCCAUGGACCACAGCAUGCCAAGCCUCCCUGUCCAUCACCAACUACUGGAGUCUACUCAAACUCAUGUCCAUUGAGUCGGUAAUGCCAUCCAACCAUCUCAUCCUCUGUUGUCCCCUUCUCCCACCUUCAAUCUUUCCCAGCAUCAGGGUCUUUUCAACUGAGUCAACUCUUCGCAUCAGGUGGCCAAAGUAUUGGAGCUUCAGCUUCAACAUCAGGACUUCCAAUGAACACUCAGGACUGAUCUCCUUUAGGAUAUACUGGUUUGAUCUCCUUGCAGUCCAAGGGACUCUCAAGAAUCUUCUCCAACACCACAGUUCAAAAGCAUCAAUUAUUCUGUGGUCAGCUUUCUUUAUAGUCCAACUCUCACAUCCAUAAAUGACUACUGGAAAAACCACAGUCUUAAUGAGACGGACCUAUGUUGCAAAGUAAUGUUUCUGCUUUUUAAUAUGCUGUCUAGGUUGGUCAUAACUUUUCUUCCAAGGAGUAAGCGUCUUUUAAUUUCAUGGGUGCAGUCACCAUCUGCAGUGAUUUUGGAGCCCUAAAAAAUAAAGUCAGCCACCGUUUCCACAUCUAUUUGUCAUGAAGUGAUGGGACCGGAUACCAUGUUCUUAGUUUUUUGAAUGUUGAGCUUUAAGUCAAAAUUUUCACUCUCCUCUUUCACUUUCAUCAAGAGGCUUUUCAUUUCUUCUUCAGUUUCUGCCAUAAGGGUGGGAUCAUCUGCAUAUCUGAGGUUAUUGAUAUUUCUCCUGGCAAGCUUGAUUCUAGCUUGUGCCUCAUACAGCCCAGCGUUUCACAUGAUGUGCUCUGCACAUUAGUUAAAUAUACAUGGUGACAAUAUACAGCCUUGAUGUACUCCUUUUCCUAUUUGGAACCAGUCUGUUGUUCCAUGUCCAGUUCUAACUGUUGCUUCCUGACCUGCAUACAGGAUUCUAAAGAGGCAGGUCAGAUGGUCCAAUUUCCCAUCUCUUGAAAAAUUUUCCACAGUUUAUUGUGAUCCACACAGUCAAAGGCUUUGGGAUAGUCAUUAAGCAGAAAGAUAUUUUUCUGGGACUCUCUUGCUUUUUCCAUGAUCCUGUGGAUGUUAUCAAUUUGAUCUCUGGUUCCCCUGCCUUUUCUAAAACCAGCUUGAACAUCUGGAAGUUCAUGGUUCACGUAUUGCUGAAGACUGGCUUGGAGAAUUUUGAGGAUUACUUUACUAACGUGAGAUGAGUGCAAUUGUGCGGUAGUUUGAGCAUUCUUUGGCAUGGCCUUUCUUUGGGAUUGGAAUGAAAACUGACAUUUUCCAGUCUUGUGGCCACUGCUGAGUAUUCCAAAUUUGCUGGCAUAUUGAGUGCAGCACUUUCACAGCAUCAUCUUUCAGGAUUUGAAAUAGCUCCACUGGCAUUCCAUCACCACCGCUAGCUUUGUUUGCAGUGAUGCUUCCUAAGGUCCACUUGACUUUACAUUCCAGAUGUUGGGAUCUAGGUGAGGGAUCACACCAUCAUGAUUAUCUGGGUCAUGGAGAUCUUUUUUGUACAAUUCUGUGUAUUCUUACCACUUCUUAAUAUCUUCUGCUUCUGUUAGGUCCAUACCCUUUCUGUCCUUUAUUGAGCCCAUCAUUGCAUGAAAUGUUCCCUUGGUAGUUCUAAUUUUCUUGAAAUCUCUAGUCUUUCCCGUUCUAUUGUUUUCCUCUAUUUCUUUGCACUGAUCACUGAGGAAGGAAGUGAUUACUGAUCACUGUAAAGGCCACACCACCAAACAAAUCUGAUGAGGAGAACGCACAGGGGGUCAGGCUAACAGGAACAGUGGUAUCGAGUGACAGAAUGAGCCCAGCCUCUGCAAAGCACAGCACUACCAUGGAAAACCAGGGCAGGAGGACAGCAAACUGAGAGCCACAAGCAUUUACUAAACCAAGAAAUUGAUAGAAAAUGGUUUAGUCAAAUCAGAAAAAAGAAAAAUCAAUAUAAAGAAGCCAUUUAGAUGAAAUGGGAUUUUAACAAAACGUGCGCAGCCUCUACUGUGGUAAAAAGUGAAAGUGAAGUCACUCAGUUACAUACAGCUUUUGCAACCUCGUGGACUAUAGACUAUCAGGCUUCUUGAAACAUGGGAUUUUCCAGGCAAGAGUUAUCAGAGUGAGUUGUCAUUUCCAUAUCGAGGGGAUCUUUCCCAUCAAGGGAUUGAACCUAGGUCUCCCAUAUUAUAGGCAGACACUUUUCCAAUAUGAGCCACCAGGGAAGGCCUCUCAACUAUGAUAGGUGCAGAUAAACAGAAAGGAACCCUUGAUACGAAAUAACGUAGAUACUACAGAGAUUUCACAGGAGUAAUUGCAAAGAACUGUAAAUUCAAAACUCCAUAGAAAAAAUAGACGAUAAGGUCAUGACUUUAAUGGAAAUGGACUAAUAUAAGCGAUUACAAUCAAAACUAGGUGAAAGCAAGGAAGGUAAUUAACAUGCAAGAAAAACAUAAAGAACAGGUAUAUGAUGAUACAAAUCGUAAAAAACUGUAAUGUAUUAUUAACAAACGAAAAAAAUCUGGUCAAGACGAUGAACAAUCAUUUUCCAGUGAGAGAAAGAAAUAACAGCCCCGAUUCAGGGUCACGAGUAGCCCUCUGGAGCAGCUGCAUGUACGUGAGGUUCUCGUGCGUGUUGGGGUCGAAGAAGCCCUUGGUGUCGUCGCUGGGGUCCUCCAGCACGCGGUUCAUCUCCUCGUCGAAGUAGCCGCGCUGGUAGGCCACGUCCACGGGCACGCGGUGGCUGUGCACGGGGUCGAUGAC
ensembl:lncRNA